GACGAACGCUGGCGGCGUGCUUUACACAUGCAAGUCGAACGGUGAAGGUGGAGCUUGCUCCGCCGGAUCAGUGGCGAACGGGUGAGUAACACGUGGGCAACCUGCCCCUAACUUUGGGAUAACUACUCGAAAGAGUAGCUAAUACCGGAUAUGAAGUCUGUAGGCAUCUAUGGAUUUGGAAAGUUUUUCGGUUAGGGAUGGGCCCGCGGCCUAUCAGCUUGUUGGUGAGGUAGUGGCUCACCAAGGCGACGACGGGUAGCCGGCCUGAGAGGGCGACCGGCCACACUGGGACUGAGACACGGCCCAGACUCCUACGGGAGGCAGCAGUGGGGAAUAUUGCGCAAUGGGCGAAAGCCUGACGCAGCAACGCCGCGUGCGGGAUGAAGGCCUUCGGGUUGUAAAACGCUUUCAGCAGGGAAGAAGCGAAAGUGACGGUACCUGCAGAAGAAGCACCGGCUAACUACGUGCCAGCCGCCGCCGUAAUAC
rnacentral:rRNA from 1 species